UGUAAAUAGUGAAAAGUGAAAGCGCGGGUUUGAGACUGUAUUUAUUUAAUAAUUUCCACUAAGAUCGAAUUUAUAUAAACUCUGGUUUUACUUGAUACGCUUGAUACCUAUAUUCGCGGUAUCCUUCGAUGCUUGCGAAACCAAAAUUCAGCUUUUGCAAGAGACGGUCCACCAGCUUCCGCGAAAUCCAGCACCAGUUGGCUAAGGAACCUGGAUUGCAGCAAUCGGUAACAUAGACGAAGCCAAAUAUGUACGAGAAACUCACCGGUUCCUACGAAGAAAUGGAAACGUCAUCAGCGAGUGUCCCAAAAUACUUUUCACCUGUUGGACAACCGAUAUCAAUGAGGUAUUCAUUGUCGAGUAUGGCCACGACACCAUUGACCACCGGGACAACGUGUUAGCAGGGGAAAUGUAUGCAUUUCAACCCAGACCAACAGUGUGCUGCGCACAAACCAAACGCCGAAUACGACCAGCUGAAAAACGAGGCGAUAAAAUCAAGGUCAUAGUUACUGCUAAUCGUGCUACGGCAUACUAGAAAAGUCAGCAAUAAAGUAAGUGGAGAAUGCAUUAAAGAUCAAACUGGAUACGUAUCUGUCCUGCAUCGUUGAUAUCCGGUUCAGUUAUUUUGGAGAUAUGCUUCAGAACUACAUCACCACGUUACAAAUCGAAAAGUGUCGAGAAGCAUUCCCCAUUCACUAGAUCCUGCCGCUCAGCUGCCUCAUACAGGAAUCGUAAUCGGGAACGAGAUCGUGAACAAAUCUAUGCCUGGCAGUACCAGUUCACGAUCUCCUAGAUGGGACCCAUGGAAUGAAACUAUACAUCUUGACAUGUUAUCGCUCAAAAUUUGCCGCCAUAUGAAAAAUUCAGCGAUAUGGGCUCAGGCGCUAUACACUUUCGAACGGGUAAAAAGCUUAAAAUUUAUUACUGCUCAGUGUAGACUGAUUCACCAGUCAACAUGAAAUGGGAAACACGUCAAAUCGCUUGUCGAAAGAUUCACGCGAUCGCGAAGUGUAGGACUAGCAUCAGCAAAAGCUGCUGAGCUCGUCCGACAACAUGGAGAGGCUUUCAAGCGCCAUAAGAAAACAAAAUCAUAAGCGUGACAGAUGGGCUAGAUGAAAUAUUGGUCUAUAUGUGAAUGAAUUCGACGAAACGCAGCUCAGCUCCUAAAUGCGUAAUUAUCCGGAAAUGUAUA